rnacentral:pre_miRNA from 1 species
AAAAAGAUAAACUAUGGAUUCUUGUGCUAAUGUUUGACUAUCCGUCUUAUAUGAAAUUUUUUUAUAAUUAGUAUUUUUAUGGUUGUUAGAUGAUAAAACAUGAUUAAUACUUUAUACGUGACUUAUCUUUUUUAUUUUUUUUUAUAAUUUUUUUAAAUAAGACGAACGGUCAAACGUUGGACAUGGGAAUC